rnacentral:rRNA from 1 species
GAUGAACGCUGGCGGCGUGCCUAAUACAUGCAAGUCGAGCGAACGGACGAGAAGCUUGCUUCUCUGAUGUUAGCGGCGGACGGGUGAGUAGCACGUGGAUAACCUACCUAUAAGACUGGGAUAACUUCGGGAAACCGGAGCUAAUACCGGAUAAUAUUUUGAACCGCAUGGUUCAAAAGUGAAAGACGGUCUUGCUGUCACUUAUAGAUGGAUCCGCGCUGCAUUAGCUAGUUGGUAAGGUAACGGCUUACCAAGGCAACGAUGCAUAGCCGACCUGAGAGGGUGAUCGGCCACACUGGAACUGAGACACGGUCCAGACUCCUACGGGAGGCAGCAGUAGGGAAUCUUCCGCAAUGGGCGAAAGCCUGACGGAGCAACGCCGCGUGAGUGAUGAAGGUCUUCGGAUCGUAAAACUCUGUUAUUAGGGAAGAACAUAUGUGUAAGUAACUGUGCACAUCUUGACGGUACCUAAUCAGAAAGCCACGGCUAUCUACGUG